CGUGAAAUUGUUGAAAGGGAAGCGUUUAUGACCAGACUUGGACUUGGUUAAUCAUCGGGGGUUCUCCCCAGUGCACUUUUCCAGUUCAGGCCAGCAUCAGUUUUCCCCGGGGGAUAAAGGCGGCGGGAAUGUGGCUCUCUUCGGGGAGUGUUAUAGCCCGCCGUGUAAUACCCUGGGGGGGACUGAGGUUCGCGCAUCUGCAAGGAUGCUGGCGUAAUGGUCAUCAACGACCCGUCUUGAAACACGG
rnacentral:rRNA from 1 species